AAAUUGAAGAGUUUGAUCAUGGCUCAGAUUGAACGCUGGCGGCAGGCCUAACACAUGCAAGUCGAACGGUAACAGGAAGCAGCUUGCUGCUUCGCUGACGAGUGGCGGACGGGUGAGUAAUGUCUGGGAAACUGCCUGAUGGAGGGGGAUAACUACUGGAAACGGUGGCUAAUACCGCAUAACGUCGCAAGACCAAAGAGGGGGACCUUCGGGCCUCUUGCCAUCAGAUGUGCCCAGAUGGGAUUAGCUUGUUGGUGAGGUAACGGCUCACCAAGGCGACGAUCCCUAGCUGGUCUGAGAGGAUGACCAGCCACACUGGAACUGAGACACGGUCCAGACUCCUACGGGAGGCAGCAGUGGGGAAUAUUGCACAAUGGGCGCAAGCCUGAUGCAGCCAUGCCGCGUGUAUGAAGAAGGCCUUCGGGUUGUAAA
rnacentral:rRNA from 1 species